GCCCCUAUGGUCUAGUGGUACGAUACCCCCUUCGGGAGCAAUUCCGUGUAGACAUCGUGUCGCACAUAAUUGGGGGUGGUCCUGCGUUCGAAUCGCGGUGGGGGCC